UAUAGAAUCGACAUCAAUUGUAAAUUCAUUUAAGUGCGUUUAAUGUAUUUAUUUCCUUUGUUAUUGACGUUUGCUGAUUAAUGUUGUUUACUAGUAGGAAAGGUUAACUAAUCUAAACUAAACUAGCUUUUCCGAACUCUCGGCGUCACGUUUACAUGUUGCCUUGGCAACACAAAGUCAGUCCAACAUAAACUCAGAGUGAGUUCACCUGCAACAGCAUGAAAACAACAGAACAGAAAACUACAUGACAUUCAAGAAAAAGAAAGCAUGGGUAAAUUAUACAAAGGCCUGAAUGAAUUUCAUGGAUGUGCUUCAUCCAUUCCAACCAAAUACCAGACAAUCAUCAUCAGCAAUGAAGAGAAGAAAGGCUUUUCCUCACAGUCAAAGAGGUUUCAAGAUCACCUGAAUGAGAAUCCAGGGCCUGGUUCAUAUAUCUGUCAUGCGCCUUCUGAGGGGUGUAGUCCUUCAUUCUCUAAGAGAGGAACAGGCAGCUUUGCUUCAAAAGCCGGUCGUGUGCCCCGUAGCUUCCAGAGAUUAAGCCCAGGACCUGAUGCUUAUAACCUUCAGACGUCUCUACUGCACAAGCAUGAUUUUAACAGAGGAGAAUCCAGAAUGUUCCGUCUGCCUGUUGCGGUACAGAAGGAAACACCAAAAAAUGAAAAUCCUGCACCAAAUCAAUAUGAUGUGUCUUAUAGUGCUGUGAACAGAAAUUCAACCAUUUCGGCUCAAAGUGCAUUUCGCUCUAAAACCAGACGGAGUCCCAGUGUCUCAGACAACUUCAAAGGACCCUCUCCAUGCCACUAUAAUGUGAGUGACGUUGUGCUCCACAAGACGUCUCAAGUUCCCAUCUCCUGUUUCAAAUCCACCACUGCCCGGAUCCAGCCACCAGUGAGAAACAACAUCCCUGGACCAGGAACCUAUAACCCCUAUCAACCACCAGAACCUGUGAAGAGAAUCGUUCUCCCAAGGAGACACUACUUGGGCUUAUCAGCUCCUCCUCUCAUACCCACCAAAGACCCACCCUUCCCUGGCCCAGGACAUUAUGACAUAAUAAACUACAAUCGUCCAGUCAAACACCUUGUAUCUAGUGCUGCCUUCCUGUCUGGGACAAGCAGGUGGAUGCAAGACAUCAAAGGGCAGGACAUACCUGGUCCAGGCCCAUCAGGUUAUAGUGUACAUUUGACGAUUACUGAAAUGUGGGAUCCACCUCAGUUUUCCAGCGGGACACAUUCAGGGACGUGUACCCUUGUGCCUCCAUCCUGAUGCCGCAGAUCCGGCUUUUAGAAACCGAGAGGGGGAGCCAUUCUGCAAAAACCUACAAACCUACCUUUUCCUCUACAGCACCUGAUAAUGUCCCCCAUACAGAUGAAUGGUACGCUCCAGUGGAUAGGCAGAGACCGUCCCGCAUCAAGCGGCUGUAUUCAGCGAGCGGCUGCUGUGUGGUGGGCAGGGCCCCGGACUUGGGCCCCCCUCU